GCAGUCGCCGCGGUAAUACGUAGGGUGCAAGCGUUAAUCGGAAUUACUGGGCGUAAAGCGUGCGCAGGCGGUUUGUUAAGACAGAUGUGAAAUCCCCGGGCUCAACCUGGGAACUGCAUUUGUGACUGGCAAGCUAGAGUGUGGCAGAGGGGGGUGGAAUUCCGCGUGUAGCAGCGAAAUGCGUAGAUAUGCGGAGGAACACCGAUGGCGAAGGCAGCCCCCUGGGCCAACACUGACGCUCAUGCGCGAAAGCGUGGGGAGCAAGCAGGAUUAGAUACCCGCGUAGUCCCUGUCUCUUAUAC
rnacentral:rRNA from 1 species